AUACUAAAAGUUUUUUAAAUAAAUAUAUAAAUUUUUAACUCACUGAAUUCCUGACAACAACUUUGAAAAAGUCGCUCUAAAAUUAAAUUGACUGUUAAAUUAAAUCGAGAAAUCAUUCGGUUUGACUUUAUUUCGGUUUCAUUUCCAGCACUUUCCUUGUUAAUUGAACGUGGUCAACACACCAAAGCAAAAUCAGUCUCCGCUUUUCCGUUGGAAAACUUUACCUUCUCCUCCGGGACGCUCCAAUGAACAUGGAAAACGAAGGAAUGGAAUGAAAAGCGGACGGGGCGACGAUGCGGAAAUCAAAAGUGUGUUCGGGCAAAAGCAAACAAGAAGAAGGAAAAGAGCCGGGGAAAAGGUCUCUCAUUGUUGUCAUUCGAUUAUCGAUGGCCGUCGAAGGCAUUUUCAUUUCAGGUGGCUGGCAAGUGAUCAAAAACCUGAUUCAAACUUUAUGUUUAGACCCAGUUGCGUUGCCCAUUCCCUCCCACUUUUAAUUUGGCUUUAGCUUUGCCUUCUGGGCAAUUUCCGUCGUUUUAUGUCGAAAGGAAGCCAGCCAACGAACAGCGCCCACAGCCAAGUAAAAGUUUCUGCUUACGCAUUCAGCUUGUUCACUUCCUUGUUUACAUAAGCGUUUUGACUCCGAGCCCAAUUAGAAGUGGGGAAUAUCUCGGGAAGAACUAAAACCUCAAAUUAGCUUAAAUUUUGCGUGACUUAAUAGGAGGCCAGGCUGAGUUGCUUCAUCGCCCAGCCAUCAUUAACAUCAAGUCUGGAUCCGUGGAUAGGAAAGUGAACCUUUAUACUAUUUUCUUCCAACCGAUCAUCUUGUUUAGGGAGUGGAACGGCGCUCAGGGAUUGAGUGUGGUCAGUGCCUGCCUAACCAUUAUGAUCGCCAUCAUGUUAUAUAACCUAUAACGAGCUGAGGCAAUCAUAAAAGCCAGAUCAUAACUAUGUAAGAAUUUUCCGGGUUCGCUCUGUCUUCUCGUAUUUUGUUAGAUAGGCUGUGUAGGUAUUUGAUAUUCAACAUUGCUUUGAAAGAAAUAAGUCUUAACAUUUUAAAUAAAUUAAAUGUAACACUAUUUAAUACGUUUU